rnacentral:piRNA from 1 species
CAUCCACAACUGCUUGACUCUGAAGGUGAGU